rnacentral:lncRNA from 1 species
UCAGGAGAUCGAGACCAUCCUGGCUAACACAGUGAAACCCCGUCUCUACUGAAGAUACAAAAAAAUUAGCCGGGCAUGGUGGCGGGCGCCUGUGGUCCCAGCUACUUGGGAGGCUGAGGCAGGAGAAUGGCGUGAACCCGGGAGGCAGAGCUUGCAGUGAGCCAAGAUCGUGCCACUACACUCCAGCCUGGGUGACAGAGCAAGACUCCGUCUCAAAAAAAAAAAAAAAAAAAAAAAAA